rnacentral:lncRNA from 1 species
ACUGGACUCGAGUGAUCCUCCAACCUCGGCCUCCUGAGUACAUAUUCCCUGGUCUAUAGAUGAAGAAAUGAAGGUUCAAGAAUACUGGACAUCUGGACUAAUUAAAUGACAACUAAAUGGCAGAAAUGGUAUUUAAGCUCAGGCCUAGCAGAUGCAAAGUCAUGGGCACAUGUCAAGAAAGACGAGAUAUAUCAUUUUUUCCCACAUAGAUCCUGGAUUAUUACUAUCCUUCGAAUUUAUUUCUAUAAUCUCUAAGUCAGGUGGAACAGAGCUAUAAUUUAUUAGAGUGAAACUUUGGAGGUGCAUACAGUAGUCACAUUAUUAUGUUCAUCUCCUACAGGAACAACUUUUGAUUUCAUUUCAUUACAUUGAAAGAGCAAAAGAUGGGUAAAGAAGAAUACAAGUAGAUUUUGGGAUGUGUCUGCAAAUGCAAGUGUGGAAUACAUAGAAGAACACUAAAUAGGAAUCAACAGAAAGGAAGGUAAAGAACUGAGAGAAUAGAUGUUGCACAAGCCAAAAGUAAAAGAAACAAAUGGUGAUGUACCUAAGAAGUACUGUAAUCUAA